UUCAACAGACAGAUGAGUUCAGUUCAGUACCACCCGGUGCUGUCAAUACGAGCAAACAUAAAUGUCAGUUGCGCAAACGUCAGAACAUAUCCUCGUGUGCUGUACUGUCAGAUGGAGCAUAGACACAACGUGAUCAGUCCGUAAGUUGCUCGUCAUUGCACUGUUUCAAUACUAAAAUCAGUUAGCAGUCGUAGUUAAACCUUUAAUAAAGUUGCUUAAAUUCUAGUUAAUUAUAGUGAAUUUGUAACAGAACGAGGUAAUUAUAAAUUAAUAAGAAUUUCCUAAAACUGUACUGUGAACUGUUAUAUCUUACCUAUUGUAGAAACUAAAGCUAAUAGUACGGCUAAUUGACUAGUUCAGGCUAAUUAUCACAGAUUUGCAAGAAGGGACACUACGAACACAGAUAAAAAAGGAGUUUGUUUCGGAUAAACUCGGAAGAAGAAAACGAAAAUCUUUGAAGCUGCGUGUAAGCUGCUAUCAGGACGUGUAUUCUUCCCAAUCCGAACAAU